GUCAUCAGUUGCGUUAGCGUCUUUGUUCCCUUGCGGUUGCUCUGCAAGUCGAUGUUGGCUUUAUCGCGAGCUGCUCGUUAACGGAAGUCGUUGAGUACGUGUAUGAUUGGCUGCUUAUAGCAGCAUCGUGUAUUUGGUGUCUUGUGACUUGCUAUUGCUGCUUCUGGGAGAAAUUUGGAGCGCUCAACGAACGAGACCGCACCGCGCUCGUCCACGCUGAAACAAGUUGGAACUUUAUCCAGGGUUACCACUCAUGCUGACUUAGUGGCCACAACAGAAAUUCGUUUUUGGUUCGGAACCAGUCGAGCAUAACCGUGUGUGGCUCCCGGCUAACAGAAACUCAAGGUGAUGACUUCACAAUCCAGCUGCCACCAUGUGAUAGCUGCAGCCAAAGAUGUGUAAGAAAAUAGGUCAAGUCCACUCAAGUGCCCCGUAAUAUGCAGAAUGGCAUACAAGUGCAGCAUAUUGCAAGCAGUUGCCAAAGCUUUGCCUCAGUUCUUGAAGCAUGCAUCUGCUUAUAGUCAGAUGAAGAGGCCAAAGGUGAAGAAAUGUCUCAAAGAAAUUGAACAAGCCAAGAACUGUCUCAAGAGUGUGACACCAGAACAUGAAGGUGCACCUGUUCUCCUCCUUGCCCUGUUUGACGAGGAUGAAGAGCUC